UGAACUUUCAAGCUGCCUCCGCUGCAGACUCUGGCAUCAGUUCCGUGGCCGUCAGGGAGUAUGAAAAGCUCCUCUGAGGUCCCCCUGGCUGAGUCAGCGUUACGUCACCCCAGUCUGACCUGGAGCCCAGCAGGCCGUCUCCUGUCUUGCUUCCCGAUGGCCAAGACUUAAGUGGGCUCUACCUGCAUCCUUCGCCUGAGAGCUGAUUUCUUCUGGGGAUGGGGUCCCGCCGGGAUCCGAGUCUGUGCAGCAGCUGAGCCCUGUCCCUGAGCCCUCGGCUGGGUCCCUCCUGUGGCCUCGGCACACUCUGAAGCUCUGCCCUGCCCUCCGCUUCUGUCUGCCUGGCUGGGGCUCGCUGACCCGCCUGCCCUGCUCCUGUUGAACCGUCUGCGCUCUGGGCUUUGGCUGGUGCCCAUGAACCCAUUGCAUCCAGACAGACCUGGCCAGGACGUUCCCUCUGCCUUCUGCCAAAUUGCCUCGGUCUCCCUGAGAGCCAUCUGCUUCCCCCCUGAGACCUGGGGUGUGGGGAGAGGCAGGGACUGCCUCAGGGUCACCAGAGUGUCUGCAGUUUCAGCCAGAAAGGUUGGUGAAGCAUUCUGGGAUCCUCCGAUGGGACAUGGCAGGAAAAUAUUAUUCGAGCAGCGCAGAACGACUUUCCCUUUUGGUUUUGGAGGAACUGGAAAGGAAAGACUUGGAAUUCUAUAUGCUCAGGCUCCUGGCCCAGGCUUGACAAAAGCCCUUUCAGGAUUGAAGUAACUGCGCUCCCAGCUUGCCGCCCAUCUCUAGUCCCAGCAGCACUUUCUCUUUGUCUGCAAACUGCUGUGCUGGUGUUUGCAGAAGGGGGUCCUGCCUGCCAACUGUGUACUCUUUCAGCCCCCACAGAAGCCGACUUCCUAGGAAACAGGACCUCUCAUCCCCCUGGGCCUCCCCAGUGUUUAUCUUGUCUGCAGAUGAGUCACUGCUCCCUGUGACUUAUCGACAGGACUGAUGUGGCCCUGCAGAGGAUCCAAAAGCUGCCGUGGCUGCCCGGACCCCUCGGAGGAGCAAAACCUGGAGGUUCUGGAGGAGAGAAACCGGGACUGGGUCUUGGGGAUUCCUGAGGUCAAGUCUUGGCUCUUCUAGUUACGACCUGGGGGAAGUUAUAACCUCUGGAGGCUGUUUCCUUAUCUGUUGAGCAGGAAUGACAAUUUCCACCUUUCUGGGGGCAUUGUGCGAUUUCGUGCUUUCAAACACAGUCUAGAUGUGGAAGAAUAGGAAAGAUUUCAGAGCUUGGGGCCGUCUGUAAGGUUGUCGUCACGGAGUUACUUGGCCCCACGCUGGAGCAGCCAUACUGAACCACAAGGUGGUCUUGGAACUGAAGGCCACAUACGGAACAGCAAGGAGAAGAAGGAGCCUGAGUGUUUGAGAACUUUGUGGAGCAGCCCUGAGUUGUCUAGCUCCGGACUUUUACCUGACACAGAAAUACUUUGCUGCUUUAAUGAAAGGAUUUUGUUUCGGUUUUCUGUUUCUGUCUGCCAAACCUAAUUCCAACAGAUCCAAAGUACAUACCUACACCUCCCCACCACUAAAUUCUACUCCCCAGAGACAAUUACUUGCUUCCCUUUAGCUGUUUCUUCUAGUAUUUACCUCCAGAUGUCUGAAUAACACACCUCACUGCUAUUUCUUGUUUGUUUAUUUGAUUUUAGACAUUAUCUAUUGACUCCCCACUAUAAAAUGUUAAGAUUUAGCUCUCUUUGCUCACUCCCAGCCCUCUGCUCACAUGAACACUGCCCUUCUGCCCAUCCUGCCAAUCCAGAUUUCUACUUGGAUCAUAGAUGGUAUAUUUCUCUAUUGUUACAACUGUGUAAUUAUUGUUCACAGCUGAGCUAAGUCCAUACUGCAGG
rnacentral:lncRNA from 1 species